GACGAACGCUGGCGGCGUGCUUAACACAUGCAAGUCGUACGGUAAGGCCCUUUCGGGGGUACACGAGUGGCGAACGGGUGAGUAACACGUGAGUAACCUGCCCACAACUUUGGGAUAACGCUAGGAAACUAGUGCUAAUACUGGAUAUGUGCUCCUGCUGCAUGGUGGGGGUUGGAAAGCUCCGGCGGUUGUGGAUGGACUCGCGGCCUAUCAGCUUGUUGGUGGGGUAGUGGCCUACCAAGGCGGCGACGGGUAGCCGGCCUGAGAGGGUGACCGGCCACAUUGGGACUGAGAUACGGCCCAGACUCCUACGGGAGGCAGCAGUGGGGAAUAUUGCACAAUGGGCGCAAGCCUGAUGCAGCAACGCCGCGUGCGGGAUGACGGCCUUCGGGUUGUAAACCGCUUUCAGCAGGGACGAAGCUCUUUGUGACGGUACCUGCAGAAGAAGCACCGGCUAACUACGUG
rnacentral:rRNA from 1 species